UACGUAGGGGGCAAGCGUUGUCCGGAUUUAUUGGGCGUAAAGAGCGUGUAGGCGGUUUGGUAGGUCCGUUGUGAAAACUCGAGGCUCAACCUCGAGACGCCGAUGGAAACCAUCAGACUAGAGUCCGGAAGAGGAGAGUGGAAUUCCUGGUGUAGCGGUGAAAUGCGCAGAUAUCAGGAAGAACACCCGUGGCUAAGGCGGCUCUCUAGUACAGUACUGACGCUGAGACGCGAAAGCGUGGGGAGCGAACAGG
rnacentral:rRNA from 1 species